rnacentral:tRNA from 1 species
GCCGACUUAGCUCAGUAGGUAGAGCAACUGACUUGUAAUCAGUAGGUCACCAGUUCGAUUCCG